CUAGGCGGGUUCAGAAUCACUAGUGCCUUUUAACCUUUUGUCUACUGACAAUGAAGCCAACCUUGACAAUUUAAUUUCUUCCUUGCUGAGCUGCCUCUCUUGCCACUUGAAGCAGUGGCUGUCUGCCUUCUUUUUUAGAUUUUACUGAGGUAUUUCUAUAGUUUACCUUACCUAUUGUGGCGAACACCCUUUCCCACAUUGCUAUUUAUAUUUUUGUUUAUAGGGGUUGAAAUUUGCUGGAAUAUCUGUCCUUCAAAUGCUUAUUCAUCUGCACUGCUUCUCUGUCUCCAUCUUGUUAUACUAUGGGGUCUAUGGUCUGCCCCAUCUGAAUAUCCUUAUGUGGACCAUAAAGCACACAAAGAGAAACGAAAGGAAAAGUAGAUUUAUACCCCCCUUAGCUGAAUUUUGAUUGUCUUUAAACUCUUACACAAUUUUUCCAUGACUGUAAAACAGCAGGUUGAGUUUUCUUUUCUGGCCAUAACUGGUUUCUUGUUCUGAGAUUGAAGAAUGUUC